UUUUUCAAACUGUUACACAAAAUAUAUAUAGAAGAAGGGGGAGCAAUUACAAGUGCCUUUUAUGAGGCAAAUAUUAACCAAAUACAAAAGACAAAUAAAUAUACAAUCAGAAGAAAAAAAACAACUACAGGCCAAUAACCUCAAUGAACAUAGAUUGAGGCAUUAGGCUGUUUCCCUCUUUAUAUCUAGUUUAUUAGUAAUCUCUCUCAUAACACUGGGCAUUGCACUGAAACAAAUGUAAAGAUCUUAUACAUAUUUUGAUGCUACAUAUAUUUGUGCUUAUAAAUAAAUGUUUCUCAUUUAAAUAGUACCUAUAACUUGCAGAUAAAGUAGAUUACUCCUUUUGCUUCAGUUCAUGUUUUUAUUACUAAUAAAUUAUAUCCUAUAUUUUUUCCUCAUUUUGAUAAACAUUUGUUUCACUUUUGAGUGACAUAUAUUUGGUCAUUCUUUGUUUCCAGCAUUUUGUUUAUAUUAGGUUAUUUAAAUAGUGUAUAAGAAAUAAAUAUUUAUAACUUUUUUGACACAAUGUAAAUGCUCUUGCCUUUAAAAUAUGAAGUUUGGACUAGUUGAAUCUAUUAACAUCUCUGCACCAUUUAAUGUCUUUUAUCGUUUUACUUUCUUCUGCUAGCCAUAUAGAUAAUAUAUUAUUUUGCUUGAUAUUUUCUUAUUCUGUGAUAUGGAAGAUAGACAUUCUUUUUCUAUUCUUAUCAUGUAUUAAGGUGUUUCUCACAAAAUAAUGA
rnacentral:lncRNA from 10 species